AUACGGAGGGUCAAAGCGUUAUCCGGAUUCAUUGGGUUUAAAGGGUCCGCAGGCGGGAAAAUAAGUCAGUGGUGAAAGCCUACAGCUCAACUGUAGAACUGCCAUUGAAACUGUUUUUCUUGAGUAUAGAUGAAGUGGGCGGAAUAUAUCAUGUAGCGGUGAAAUGCAUAGAUAUGAUAUAGAACACCGAUUGCGAAGGCAGCUCACUAAACUAUUACUGACGCUCAGGGACGAAAGCGUGGGGAGCGAACAGGAUUAGAAACCCUAGUAGUCC
rnacentral:rRNA from 1 species